rnacentral:rRNA from 1 species
UACGUAGGGAGCAAGCGUUGUCCGGAAUCAUUGGGCGUAAAGCGCGCGUAGGCGGCCCUGUAAGUCCGUUGUGAAAGUCAAAGGCUCAACCUUUGAAAGCCGAUGGAUACUGCAGGGCUAGAGUCCGGAAGAGGCGAGUGGAAUUCCUGGUGUAGCGGUGGAAUGCGCAGAUAUCAGGAAGAACACCCGUGGCGAAGGCGGCUCUCUGGGACGGUACUGACGCUGAGACGCGAAAGCGUGGGGAGCGAACAG